rnacentral:rRNA from 1 species
AUUGAACGCUGGCGGCAUGCCUUACACAUGCAAGUCGAACGGCAGCACGGGUGCUUGCACCUGGUGGCGAGUGGCGAACGGGUGAGUAAUACAUCGGAACAUGUCCUGUAGUGGGGGAUAGCCCGGCGAAAGCCGGAUUAAUACCGCAUACGAUCCACGGAUGAAAGCAGGGGACCUUCGGGCCUCGCGCUAUAGGGUUGGCCGAUGGCUGAUUAGCUAGUUGGUGGGGUAAAGGCCUACCAAGGCGACGAUCAGUAGCUGGUCUGAGAGGACGACCAGCCACACUGGGACUGAGACACGGCCCAGACUCCUACGGGAGGCAGCAGUGGGGAAUUUUGGACAAUGGGCGAAAGCCUGAUCCAGCAAUGCCGCGUGUGUGAAGAAGGCCUUCGGGUUGUAAAGCACUUUUGUCCGGAAAGAAAUCCUUGACUCUAAUACAGUCGGGGGAUGACGGUACCGGAAGAAUAAGCACCGGCUAACUACGUG